GACAGAGGAUGCAAGCGUUAUCCGGAAUGAUUGGGCGUAAAGCGUCUGUAGGUGGCUUUUUAAGUCUGCCGUCAAAUCCCAGGGCUUAACCCUGGACAGGCGGUGGAAACUACCAAGCUGGAGUACGGUAGGGGCAGAGGGAAUUUCCGGUGGAGCGGUGAAAUGCGUAGAUAUCGUUUGGAACGCCAAUGGUGAAAACAGGUUGCUGGGGGGUGUGCUGACGCUGAGACACGAAAGCCAGGGGAGCAAACGGGG
rnacentral:rRNA from 1 species